AUUUUAGUGCUUCAAGUAUUUGAUACUAAAUCUCUCUGUAUCACACUAAUACUAAUUCUCUGAUUGAUUGUUUUUUGUAGAUUUACUCUUGUCUUAAAGAUGAGUACACGAACACACACCUUAAAGAGGAUGACGGGCGUAUGCGAAUCGAAGUAAUCAGUGGAUUGAAAGGUAUGCAAUGCAUAGUUUUGGAAAGAUUAGAGAGCUUGAGAUACACUGGGGGAGGGUCAAAAGAUAUAUGGCUUGACAAGAACAAGCAGCCAGAUAUUUCAUUCACGUUAGAGCCUUUAACAAUGAAGAAUACCAACAAAUGCAAGUUGAGUUACAAGACAUGAAGAAUCAGGUGAAGCAAUUAGAAGAGAUGAGAGAUCAGAAAUUAGAAGAGAUGAGAAAGCAAAUGGAAGAGACGAAGAGCCAACUUGCUAUGGUAUUUAAUAAUCGGAAUGAAAAUUAGAUAUUGUGUACGAGACAAGCUAGCUUUUUAUAUGUUAUGUAUGAAGUAUGUAUGAUUUAUGAAUUAUAAACCUUGUACGUAUGGAUGUUGCUUUUGAUUUUAA